rnacentral:rRNA from 1 species
CAGCAGUGGGGAAUAUUGCACAAUGGGGGAAACCCUGAUGCAGCGACGCCGCGUGAAGGAAGAAGUAUUUCGGUAUGUAAACUUCUAUCAGCAGGGAAGAAAAUGACGGUACCUGACUAAGAAGCCCCGGCUAACUACGUGCCAGCAGCCGCGGUAAUACGUAGGGGGCAAGCGUUAUCCGGAUUUACUGGGUGUAAAGGGAGCGUAGACGGACAUGCAAGUCUGGAGUGAAAGCCCGGGGCUCAACCCCGUGACUGCUUUGGAAACUGUGAGUCUUGAGUACCGGAGAGGCAGGCGGAAUUCCCAGUGUAGCGGUGAAAUGCGUAGAUAUUGGGAGGAACACCAGUGGCGAAGGCGGCCUGCUGGACGGUAACUGACGUUGAGGCUCGAAAGCGUGGGGAGCAAACAGGAUUAGA